UGAGGAAUAUUGGUCAAUGGGCGCAAGCCUGAACCAGCCAUCCCGCGUGCAGGAAGACGGCGCUAUGCGUUGUAAACUGCUUUUCCAGGGAGAGAAACUUGCGCACGUGUUGCGCAAUUGACGGUACCCUGGGAAUAAGCAUCGGCUAACUCCGUGCCAGCAGCCGCGGUAAUACUGAGGAUGCGAGCGUUAUCCGUAUUCAUUGGGUUUAAAGGGUGCGUAGGCGGACUAUUAAGUCAGUGGUGAAAUCCUGCAGCUUAACUGCAGAACUGCCAUUGAUACUGAUAGACUUGAGUUUGGUUAAGGUAGGCGGAAUGUGUAAUGUAGCGGUGAAAUGCUUAGAUAUUACACAGAACACCAAUUGCGUAGGCAGCUUACUGAGCCGACACUGACGCUGAGGCACGAAAGCGUGGGGAUCGAACAG
rnacentral:rRNA from 1 species